GAUGAAGAACGUAGCGAAUUGCGAUAAGUAAUGUGAAUUGCAGAUUUUCAGUGAAUCAUCGAAUCUUUGAACGCACCUUGCGCUCCUUGGUAUUCUGAGGAGCAUGCCUGUUCGAGCGUCAUUUGUACCUUCAAGCUUUGCUUGGUGUUGGGUGUUUGUCCUGAGGGACUCGCCUUAAAGUAAUUGGCAGCCAGUGUUUUGGUUUUGAAGCGCAGCACAAGUCGCGAUUCAAGGCUAUACGCCAGCUUCCACAAGCCUUUUUCACUUUUGACCUCGGAUCAGGUAGGGAUACCCGCUGAACUUAAGCAUAUCAAUAAGCGGAGGA
rnacentral:misc_RNA from 1 species